GGAACUAUAAAUGUGCUUUUCAGGUGUUCGACGAAAUGAAUCACAGAGGUGUUCGCUUGAACACUCUUGGUUUUGGUGUGUUUUUGUGGAGAUUCUGUGGAUUUAAUGGGUUGGAAAAGACUUUGAAUUUGUUAGAUGAGGUUAGGAAGAUUGACUUUUCCGGAAUUAAUGGAUCCCUUUUGGCAGUUCUAGUCGUGCACGGGUUAUGUUCUCACUCUAGGAUACCAGAAGCUGUUUCUGCUUUUGAUCAAUUGAGGAUAAGGGAAUGUAAACCUGAUUUUAUU
rnacentral:misc_RNA from 1 species